CGCAAGUUUCCCAACCACAGUCCAAAAAGUCUCACCCCCGAAACCCCUCCUUUCAAUCAACCCUUGUCUUUUCUUCCCCGGUUCCUCGCCCCCUGUGGUUUCAGUUUCUCGGGAAAAAAAAUUAUUUAAAUUUUUUCCAGCUCUCCAAUCAAUCUUUUCCGAUCAAUUGACUAGUUAAUUGAAUCGAACAUCGAAACCCUAGCUUUCUUUGAUCCCCUCAAAGGUUCGAUCGGCCGAUCUGAUUCCAAGCAUGGAGAGGAUCGUCGGAGGUAAAUACAAGCUCGGCCGCAAGAUCGGAAGUGGAUCAUUCGGAGAAAUCUUUCUCGCUACUCAUGUUGAUACGUUUGAGAUCCUUGCUGUGAAGAUCGAAAACAAUAAGACAAAACAUCCGCAACUGUUUUACGAAGCCAAGCUAUAUAAUAUCCUACAAGGGGGAAGUGGUAUUCCUAGCAUCAAAUGGUCUGGCAUAGAUGGGGAAGAUAAUAUACUUGUCAUGGAUUUGCUGGGACCAAGUCUUGAAGAUCUGUUUGUCUAUUGUGGUAGAAAGUUUUCAUUGAAGACAGUCUUGAUGUUAGCUGAUCAAAUGGUAACAAGAAUAGAGUACGUACACUCUAAAGGGUUCUUGCAUAGGGACAUUAAACCUGAUAACUUUCUCAUGGGCCUUGGUCGAAAAGCAAAUCAGGUUUACAUUAUUGACUUUGGGCUUGCAAAAAGAUAUCGGGAUUCUACAACCAAUCGCCACAUUCCUUACAGGGAGAACAAAAACUUGACAGGGACUGCACGUUAUGCAAGUUGCAAUACUCAUCUUGGCAUUGAGCAAAGCCGGCGGGAUGAUUUAGAGUCUCUUGGAUAUGUACUUCUAUAUUUCUUGAGAGGAAGCCUACCAUGGCAAGGUUUAAAAGCUGCAACAAAGAAGCAAAAGUAUGACAAGAUAUGUGAGAAGAAAUUAUCAACUCCUAUUGAGGUUUUAUGCAAGUCUCAUCCUGUGGAGUUUGCUUCAUAUUUCCAUUAUUGCCAUUCAUUGACAUUUGAUCAACGGCCUGAUUACGGAUUCUUAAAGCGUCUAUUCCGUGAGUUGUUCAGCCGUGAAGGAUAUGAAUUUGAUUACAUAUUUGAUUGGACUAUCCUAAAGUACCAGCAAGCACAAAAGAGUAAAACUCAGCCGCACUUAUCUCCAGUCCCUGGAGAGGGCAACAGUAGAGCAACACCAAUGGAUGUGGACAAAUAUCAAGGCAAUCAUGCUUCUUCAGCUGAGGUAACGGAACGCAUGAGAUUGGGCAAUCCUGGUAGUCCUGCCAUUCGCAUGCAGUUUAAAUCCCCGAAGGGGAGGAAUUUGAAUUCAGAAAAUCCCCUUGAAAGAAAUAUUGCGAGCAAUACAGAAUUGCCAUCGACUUCAUAUUCUCCUGCUGGCGCAUCAAAACAAAAGGCCUCUAAAGCUGUGUUGCCUGCUGAAAGCACAAACUUUAGUCGUGGGAAUGUUGAUAAAAUUGGUCCUUCAAGCAGCUGGAUUUCUUCCCUGCACCGUGUUUCUUCUUCCAAGUGAUCAUAUAUGCUGUUGUCCUGUGGAUUUGGUAAUGAUCUUCAUGAUGCAUCUAGGGAGGUUUGAAUGUAGCAUGGAUAUGGAUUUCCCAUCAUUUCUCUAUGGAUGCAAGUUCAUUUUGAAAAGUCUCAAGAUAACAACAAACUCGUGGGUUGACUCUUGAUACUGACCACCCAUAGCUCUGUUGACAAGAUUUAGUGAUGGAUCUAUAGAGCAACAAAGUUGUCUGAUGUGACCAACACGUUCCUAAGGAUUUCUUCUUUGCGGGUGGAAUGAAUCAGGGAAGUACACCAUUACCAUGAAGAUGGUACCAAAGCGUCUACCUUGCUCACACUUUGCCCAAAAGGAAGUCCGUCUUACUAUCGCACAGGUUUUUCCAUCUGGAAGGGGCAGCCUGUGAAGCCAUGCCCAGCCUGUUGCUUACUUGGCUUAAUUGGUUGAAUGUGUUGCUCACCAACUUGUCAAUAGGAGCCGCAGAUUUCCAUCAUGCUUUGUAUUUUACGGUGGCAAUGCGUUCGUUCACUGGGGAGGCUUUCCGGAUUAACAAGCUGACAGAGUAGGUAAAGAUUUGUGUGGUUUGGUCAUUAUCCAUUUUAGUAAUGUGUCAAAUGGAUAGAGCUCUUUGAAGCGGUCUUCAGAUUGCCGGUUGUCUUGCAGAUGUAUUUUGGUUUUGGAAGUCGGUACAUGAGUAAUGCUAAUGCUUCCCAAUUUGGAAGUUCAAUGUAUGCUUUCUAGCUCCACCAGUUCUUCUACGUGCACAAAAUCCGAUCACAAAACCAAACGUCACUCUCGUAUAUGAAGUGAGACCAAUACAUUUAAUGGGGUCUUGCUUUAUAUGAGAGAGUUGCGUUUGAUUAUGUGAUUAUGUGCACUUAGAAUUGUUUCGAUUUUGUGAUUCAGUUGGGUGUAUGGGAAAGGAAAUGAUUGAUGUUCCCUCCCCCAAAGUAGAAUUAUAAUCUUAAUGCAGGUUUUAUUGUUCAAAAUUUU